GCGAGCGCUGGCGGCAGGCCUAACACAUGCAAGUCGAACGAACUCUUCGGAGUUAGUGGCGGACGGGUGAGUAACACGUGGGAACGUGCCUUUUGGUUCGGAAUAACUCAGGGAAACUUGUGCUAAUACCGAAUGUGCCCUUCGGGGGAAAGAUUUAUCGCCAUUAGAGCGGCCCGCGUCUGAUUAGCUAGUUGGUGAGGUAACGGCUCACCAAGGCGACGAUCAGUAGCUGGUCUGAGAGGAUGACCAGCCACACUGGGACUGAGACACGGCCCAGACUCCUACGGGAGGCAGCAGUGGGGAAUCUUGCGCAAUGGGCGAAAGCCUGACGCAGCCAUGCCGCGUGAAUGAUGAAGGUCUUAGGAUUGUAAAAUUCUUUCACCGGGGACGAUAAUGACGGUACCCGGAGAAGAAGCCCCGGCUAACUUCGUG
rnacentral:rRNA from 1 species